GGCUAGCCUGGGACAUCUGCCCAUCACAGCAUGGAGCGUCACGAUAGGGGAUCUGACUGGGACCACAUAAAGUACAUGAGAGGUGGCCCUCUUUUUCCUCCCACAAGAAAUGGAGGGAGGUGCUGUCAGACAAAAGGGGAAGGUAGGCUUGGCAAGCAAAAAUGAAAGGCAUCCGAGACAUCUGGCCACCAGCAGGGGCCACAGUGCUCGCGGGGUCUGGAAGGCUUAGUAAAGAUGGGUGGAACUACGCAGUAGUAGUUAAUAAGGUUUGCUAAAACCUGGGCCAUCUCUCUGCAAGUGUCCUUAUGUUAGUUCAGAGGCCCAGAGCAGGCCAGGGUAGAGGCCACAUGGAGACAAAGCAGCAUUUCUUCUGCAGAACUCGGCUAAGUGUAGUCUGAGCCUGGUGCACCCCUGCCUCUGGUCCUGCCCCUGCUAGAUAAAGCUCAGAACGAAACGUCUUUCUCCUCCCACUCCUCUUUCUCUUUGCCUUCUCUCCAAAAGAACCUCCCACCGGCAUCCUUAGCCUGAUCUGGCCCCUCCACUGGCCUCUGAGUGUGGAGUGAGACAGAGCUGAAAUGGAGAAGCCGGGCUUGGCUGGAAGCGAGGAGGGUGGAAGUGAAGUCCGUCACCGCUGGUGGGAGGUAGGUGAGGGCAGAGGCCAGUCACCUCCUACACCAGCCUCACUGGCCAAGUUGGUCAGCGCGGAAUGGAGUCUCAGCCUGUCUUCUUUACCUUCACCACCUUUUGUCGGCCACAACAGUAUGUCCCCUCCUGCAUAGCUUCCUGAACUGUGACCUUGCCACUCUUCCAUCACGAGGUGGUGUCUGUUUCACCACCUCCUGAAGCUGGGCAGGCCCUGGAAGUGAUGCUGUGCUACUCCCAGGCAGAGCCUUUCAUGGGCCCGGUGGCUUUGCUUUCUGCCUCUUGGAAGCCGGCUACAAUGAAGGAAGUUUGUCUAUAUCCUGAGACCACUAUGCUGUGAGCAGCCCGUGAACCCACCGGAGAGGUCUUGCAGGAGGAAAUGGCCCAUGGAGAGAGAGAGAAGCCAAGGAUCACAAGGCACCAGACCCAGAACUUUUAAUAUUACAGAAUUUUAACAAUUUCUCUG
rnacentral:lncRNA from 10 species